rnacentral:rRNA from 1 species
AACGUAGGAGGCGAGCGUUAUCCGGAGUUACUGGGCGUAAAGAGCGUGUAGGCGGCCUAGCAUGUCGGGUGUGAAAGCCCUCGGCUUAACCGAGGAAGUGCGCCCGAAACUACUAGGCUUGAGUACCGGAGAGGGUGGCGGAAUUCCCGGUGUAGAGGUGAAAUUCGUAGAUAUCGGGAGGAACACCAGCGGCGAAGGCGGCCACCUGGACGGAUACUGACGCUGAGACGCGAAAGCGUGGGGAGCGAACAGG